rnacentral:rRNA from 1 species
UACACUCCUACGGGAGGCAGCAGUGGGGAAUAUUGCACAAUGGGCGCAAGCCUGAUGCAGCCAUGCCGCGUGUAUGAAGAAGGCCUUCGGGUUGUAAGUACUUUCAGCGGGGAGGAAGGCAAUACGGUUAAUAACCGUGUUGAUUGACGUUACCCGCAGAAGAAGCACCGGCUAACUCCGUGCCAGCAGCCGCGGUAAUACGGAGGGUGCAAGCGUUAAUCGGAAUUACUGGGCGUAAAGCGCACGCAGGCGGUCUGUCAAGUCGGAUGUGAAAUCCCCGGGCUCAACCUGGGAACUGCAUUCGAAACUGGCAGGCUUGAGUCUUGUAGAGGGGGGUAGAAUUCCAGGUGUAGCGGUGAAAUGCGUAGAGAUCUGGAGGAAUACCGGUGGCGAAGGCGGCCCCCUGGACAAAGACUGACGCUCAGGUGCGAAAGCGUGGGGAGCAAACAGGAUUAGAAACCCCAGUAGUCCCAUG